rnacentral:tRNA from 1 species
GGGGGUGUAGCUCAUAUGGUAGAGCGCUUGCUUUGCAUGCGAGAGGAACGAGGUUUAAUUUCCCGCACCUCUA